GAGUGUACUUGCAAAUAUUACUCAUCAAUUAUAAUAUUGAUUAUUGCAUUAAUCAUCUUUAGUCACAUAGUUCUUCAAUUAUCAAUCUUUUAUAGCAAUGUAGGUCGUCAGUUUCUGACAACCUUCACCUUAUCGUGAAUUGGGUUUCACAGGUACUUAAAUAUAGAAUACAUGAUUCUUAGAAAUCGUCGGGAAAAUUCCAGAGCUUCAAGUAAAAAUCAAAUAGUGCUAAAAUAAAUAAAAUAAGCAGUUGCCACUAGGGCAUCCCUGCCAUUUCGUUCGUUGCAAUCCGUGACUGCACGCAUUGGUUUGUCCUGGUUGGAUCAGAGAGAGCAGCAUAUGUGCCUCCUGAUGAGAGACUAAUAAGUUUCGAAACCGGUAGAGGUGCUUGCUGCACUCUCUGAUUGAACUAUAAUAUAAUGCGGCUGUAGUUUCGUGUUGCAACGAAAUUGAAGUUAUUCAUUUUUUAAUAAAAUAAUUUGUUUAGAAAAUAAAAUAUAGCCUUCAGCCUCGCGUUAAGCAGAUCAACAGCAGAGAACCGCACGCGCUUCGAUACCAGCGCAACCCCACUCAUUUCCACUUCUACUCCGAGGCAUCCAAGUAGGGCAGCCGAGAAUGUAUUUAAGGAGAGAACCGAAGAAGAACAAUCAGUCUUGCGGCGAUCAAGCUCUAGACUCACUGGCUAACCAGUGUAGUCAACAGGUAGGCCAAUCUGGGUGGUGGAACUCUGUAGUGAAGAGCUCGUAAUUGAACAGGAUCCGUGUAGCCGUGGAGUGAACGGUUACCGCCAUCUCCGAUUCGGAGUUGUAUGGGUGUCUGUAUAGUUAUUGAUAUUUUGAUUGUAGUAUUUGUGCUUACACUGGAGUGAAGUGUGAGGACACGACCGGCAAGCGAAACGGAGCGAAGAUAUAAUGAUAUGUUAUUUUAAGUUUAAACUGUAUAUAAAUAUCCUCAAUAUAUUUAUUUUAUUUUAA